ACGCUCGACACCUACGGGAGCAGCAGUAGGGAAUUUUCGGCAAUGGGGGGAACCCUGACCGAGCAACGCCGCGUGAGUGAAGAAGGUCUUCGGAUUGUAAAGCUCUGUUGUGAAGGAAGAACGCGCCGGAUAGGGAAUGAUCCGGCGGUGACGGUACUUUACCAGAAAGCCACGGCUAACUACGUGCCGCAGCGCGGUAGUAUGNGCGGCGNGNGAGAG
rnacentral:rRNA from 1 species